rnacentral:rRNA from 1 species
GAUGAACGCUGGUGGCGUGCCUAACACAUGCAGGUCGAGCGAUUCUCUUCGGAGAAGAGCGGCGGACGGGUGAGUAACGCGUGGGUAACCUGCCCUGUACACACGGAUAACAUACCGAAAGGUAUGCUAAUACGAGAUAACAUGCUUUUAUCGCAUGGUAGAAGUAUCAAAGCUUUUGCGGUACAGGAUGGACCCGCGUCUGAUUAGCUAGUUGGUGAGGUAACGGCUCACCAAGGCGACGAUCAGUAGCCGACCUGAGAGGGUGAUCGGCCACAUUGGAACUGAGACACGGUCCAAACUCCUACGGGAGGCAGCAGUGGGGAAUAUUGCACAAUGGGCGAAAGCCUGAUGCAGCAACGCCGCGUGAGCGAUGAAGGCCUUCGGGUCGUAAAGCUCUGUCCUCAAGGAAGAUAAUGACGGUACUUGAGGAGGAAGCCCCGGCUAACUACGU